AUUGAACGCUGGCGGCAGGCCUAACACAUGCAAGUCGAGCGAGCGGCGGACGGGUGAGUAAUGUCUGGGAAACUGCGUGAUGGAGGGGGAUAACUACGGGAAACGGUAGCUAAUACCGCAUACCAUCAGAUGUGCCCAGAUGGGGUUAGCGAGUAGGUGGGGUAACGGCUCACCUAUGCGACGAUCCCUAGCUGGUCUGCGAGGAUGACCAGCCACCCUGGAACUGAGAAACGGUCCAGACUCCUACGGGAGGCAGCAGUGGGGAAUAUUGCACAAUGGGCGCAAGCCUGAUGCAGCCAUGCCGCGUGUAUGAAGAAGGCCUUCGGGUUGUAAAGUACUUUCAGCGGGGAGGCGUUACCCGCAGAAGAAGCACCGGCUAACUCCGUGCCAGCAGCCGCGGUAAUUC
rnacentral:rRNA from 1 species